rnacentral:rRNA from 1 species
UGGGGAAUAUUGCACAAUGGGGGAAACCCUGAUGCAGCGACGCCGCGUGGAGGAAGAAGGUCUUCGGAUUGUAAACUCCUGUUGUUGAGGAAGAUAAUGACGGUACUCAACAAGGAAGUGACGGCUAACUACGUGCCAGCAGCCGCGGUAAAACGUAGGUCACAAGCGUUGUCCGGAAUUACUGGGUGUAAAGGGAGCGCAGGCGGGAAGACAAGUUGGAAGUGAAAUCUAUGGGCUCAACCCAUAAACUGCUUUCAAAACUGUUUUUCUUGAGUAGUGCAGAGGUAGGCGGAAUUCCCGGUGUAGCGGUGGAAUGCGUAGAUAUCGGGAGGAACACCAGUGGCGAAGGCGGCCUACUGGGCACCAACUGACGCUGAGGCUCGAAAGUGUGGGUAGCAAACAGGAUUAGAUACCCUGGUAGUCCACACUGUAAACGAUGAUUACUAGGUGUUGGAGGAUUGACCCCUUCAGUGCCGCAGUUAACACAAUAAGUAAUCCACCUGGGGAGUACGACCGCAAGGUUGAAACUCAAAGGAAUUGACGGGGGCCCGCACAAGCAGUGGAGUAUGUGGUUUAAUUCGACGCAACGCGAAGAACCUUACCAAGUCUUGACAUCCUGCGACGCACAUAGAAAUAUGUGUUUCCUUCGGGACGCAGAGACAGGUGGUGCAUGGUUGUCGUCAGCUCGUGUCGUGAGAUGUUGGGUUAAGUCCCGCAACGAGCGCAACCCUUAUGGUCAGUUACUACGCAAGAGGACUCUGGCCAGACUGCCGUUGACAAAACGGAGGAAGGUGGGGAUGACGUCAAAUCAUCAUGCCCUUUAUGACUUGGGCUACACACGUACUACAAUGGCGUUAAACAAAGAGAAGCAAGACCGCGAGGUGGAGCAAAACUCAGAAACAACGUCCCAGUUCGGACUGCAGGCUGCAACUCGCCUGCACGAAGUCGGAAUUGCUAGUAAUCGCAGAUCAGCAUGCUGCGGUGAAUACGUUCCC